rnacentral:rRNA from 1 species
GACGAACGCUGGCGGCGUGCUUAACACAUGCAAGUCGAACGGAAAGGCCCUGCUUGCAGGGUACUCGAGUGGCGAACGGGUGAGUAACACGUGGGUGAUCUGCCCUGCACUUCGGGAUAAGCCUGGGAAACUGGGUCUAAUACCGGAUAGGAGCCAUUUUUAGUGUGAUGGUUGGAAAGUUUUUUCGGUGUAGGAUGAGCUCGCGGCCUAUCAGCUUGUUGGUGGGGUAAUGGCCUACCAAGGCGGCGACGGGUAGCCGGCCUGAGAGGGUGGACGGCCACAUUGGGACUGAGAUACGGCCCAGACUCCGACGGGAGGCAGCAGUGGGGAAUAUUGCACAAUGGGCGCAAGCCUGAUGCAGCGACGCCGCGUGGGGGAUGACGGCCUUCGGGUUGUAAACUCCGUUCGCUAGGGACGAAGCUUUUUGUGACGGUACCUAGAUAAGAAGCACCGGCUAACUACGUG